rnacentral:lncRNA from 1 species
CUGAUUACUACCAUUUUUCAUCUGCUUUUAUCUGAACAAUCCUCCCAGUAAAUGUCUUGUAAACGGCAGCAUGCUCAGUGAUGCCAAGCGGGCCUCCGAAGCGUUCCCAGGCCAUAGGUGAGUCCCCAUUUUCCAGUCAAACUGGCCUAGUUCAGCUCUAAAUGAUGAUUCCAAUAGACAAGCAUAUGGCUGAAUUUGUAAUGUCGAUUAAUUUGCACUGAUUGUUAAGGCUUAGAAGUAGAAUGCGUUUCGCGGGGCUUCGCUGGUGGUUAAAUGAGUUUGUUUUGCAGGCUUUCCAUCAUGGCGGACGCCCCGAUUGCUUCAGAAAACUUCAUUAUGGACUCCAAAGGAGCUUCGCACGUGGAGACGCUUUCAUUGCUGCAGGUCUGGCGUAGUUGAAAGGUGAGUUGCAAUGGCUCAGAAGCUUGGAUGUUGAACAGCACAAUGAUGACACUAAUUACCGUCUGAUAGUCGAAUGAUUAUAACUUUCGGCUGCAUUUAUUUGCUGAUUGCCUUCAAAUGGCCCCACAAAAUACUGGUUGGGAGAUCGCAGUACUAAACGAGUUUGUUCUAGGAGUUUUGCAGUCUAGAAUGAGCAAUGAGUGAAGACUGCAGAGACUAACCAGGUUUGGGAGAAUGGAGACGCUGAGUUUCUUCGUUGGAGACCCAAAAAGGUUCUCUGUCCAGUAGUAUCCAGUCAAUCGAGGGUUCCGGACUGAAUUCCUCCUAAUUUUGCGGGUGGUGAAGCUGGGUAACAUUGAGAACCAUCAGCAACAGCACUGACCAAGGCACCACACGAGGGAGGCAACAAACAAAAGUAAUUUCUGAUUUUCUACGUAGAUUAGCACCAAAUUUUCCUUAGUUAUAAUGAUGCUUCAAAUAUACGCUAUGAAUCAUUUGGUGAUGUCAUCUAAGUUCUGAAUGAUGCUUUAAAGUUUUUGUAUAGAUUAGUGGAAAUGCUGGCCGUUGUUAUAAAAGAGAUUCUUUUCCAGGGCGCACCUUUAGCCGAUGUUCCUCUUCAUGGCGUUUGAAAUGAUAAAUAAAUGACUCAAAUGUA